GCGUGAGUGGCGGAAUUGGUAGACGCGCUUGGCUUAGGACCAAGUGGGGUUAAACCCGUGGAGGUUCAAGUCCUCUCUCACGCACAA
rnacentral:tRNA from 1 species